rnacentral:misc_RNA from 1 species
GAUGAAGAACGUAGCGAAAUGCGAUAAGUAGUGUGAAUUGCAGAAUUCCGUGAAUCAUCGAAUCUUUGAACGCACAUUGCGCCUUCUGGUAUUCCGGAAGGCAUGCCUGUUCGAGAGUCAUUAACAACCGUUUCGAUCCCUUCCUUUCAGAAAUUACAAAGAGGAAAAGGGUUUGGUUAUGGUGGAGGAGGGAAAGGGAGCGUUUAGCCUGUAAAAAAAGAGGCUGUGUUCCGCCUCCCCCCCAAAAUUGUACAGGCGGUCGUGUGCGCCCACGCAUCGAGGUGUUGUAAAAGCUGCCACGGCACUUUUCACCUGUGCAGUGCGAGAUUGGCCAGCCGGUUUAAAAACCCCUCCAAACAAUCAAAGGUUGACCUCGGAUCAGGUAGGGAUACCCGCUGAACUUAAGCAUAUCAAUAAGCGGAGGA